AGAGAUGCACUGGGUUUAAAGUGUGCGCAGGCGGUUUUGUAAGACAGAGGUGAAAUCCCCGGGCUCAACCUGGGAACUGCCUUUGUGACUGCAAGGCUGGAGUGCGGCAGAGGGGGAUGGAAUUCCGCGUGUAGCAGUGAAAUGCGUAGAUAUGCGGAGGAACACCGAUGGCGAAGGCAAUCCCCUGGGCCUGCACUGACGCUCAUGCACGAAAGCGUGGGGAGCAAACA
rnacentral:rRNA from 1 species